GCUACAUGCUCCCCCUCCUUUGGAGGCUGAAAGGAAAAGAAUAAAAAGAGAGAGAGAAGGGUGCUGUGAGAUCUUGCAGACCUCACUCUCUGAACCUGGUUUCCUGGACCAUGUGGCCAUCUGUGGUACUCCCCCCACCAACCUCGCCCCCCAUCCCCUGAAGUUAGAGGAGCCAAAGAGAAAAAUAAAACACCCAUGAAUAGAA